rnacentral:rRNA from 1 species
CACGUAGGGCGCAAGCGUUGUCCGGAAUUAUUGGGCGUAAAGAGCUCGUAGGCGGUUUGUCGCGUCGUCCGUGAAAACUUGGGGCUCAACCCCAAGCUUGCGGGCGAUACGGGCAGACUUGAGUACUGCAGGGGAGACUGGAAUUCCUGGUGUAGCGGUGAAAUGCGCAGAUAUCAGGAGGAACACCGGUGGCGAAGGCGGGUCUCUGGGCAGUAACUGACGCUGAGGAGCGAAAGCGUGGGUAGCAAACAGG